rnacentral:rRNA from 1 species
ACGCUCGACACCUACGGGAGGCCAGCAGUGGGGAAUAUUGGGCAAUGGGCGAAAGCCUGACCCAGCAACGCCGCGUGAGGGAAGAAGGUUUUCGGAUUGUAAACCUCUGUCCUCAGGGACGAAGGACGUGACGGUACCUGAGGAGGAAGCCCCGGCUAACUACGUGUCCAGCAGCCGCGGUAAUCUGAGCGGGCUGGCAAGGC